AACCUGGUUGAUCCUGCCAGUAGUCAUAUGCUUGUCUUAAAGAUUAAGCCAUGCAUGUCUAAGUAUAAAUAGUAUACAGUGAAACUGCGAAUGGCUCAUUAAAACAGUUAUAGUUUAUUUGAUAGUUGAAUGCUACAUGGAUAACCGUGGUAAUUCUAGAGCUAAUACAUGCGUAAAAACCUGACUUUUUGAAAGGUUGUAUUUAUUAGAUUACAAACCAAUAUUCCCUCUGGGUCUAUUGUGAUGAUUCAUAAUAACUGAUCGGAGCGAACGCAGUUCGCUAAAUCAUUCAAGUUUCUGCCCUAUCAGCUUUCGAAGGUAGUGUAUUGGACUACCUUGGCAGUCACGGGUAACGGGGAAUUAGGGUUCGAUUCCGGAGAGGGAGCCUGAGAAACGGCUACCACUUCUAAGGAAGGCAGCAGGCGCGUAAAUUACCCAAUCCUGAUUCAGGGAGGUAGUGACAAGAAAUAACAACUCGGGGCCUCACGGCUCACGGGAUUGAAAUGAGAACAAUUUAAAACACUUAACGAGGAACGAUUGGAGGGCAAGUCUGGUGCCAGCAGCCGCGGUAAUUCCAGCUCCAAUAGC
rnacentral:rRNA from 1 species